CGUUUCCGGAAUCAUUGGGUUUAAAGGGUCCGCAGGCGGGUAUGUCAGUCAGUGGUGAAAGUCUGCAGCUCAACUGUAGAACUGCCAUUGAUACUGCAUACCUUGAGUAAUUAUGAAGUGGUUAGAAUAUGUAGUGUAGCGGUGAAAUGCAUAGAUAUUACAUAGAAUACCGAUUGCGAAGGCAGAUCACUAAUAAUUUACUGACGCUGAUGGACGAAAGCGUAGGUAGCGAACAGGAUUAGAUACCCUGGUAGUCCACGCUGUAAACGAUGCAUACUAGUUGUUGGCCCUUCGGGGCCAGUGAUGCAGUUAACGCAGUAAGUAUGCCACCUGGGGAGUACGUCGGCAACGAUGAAACUCAAAGGAAUUGACGGGGGCCCGCACAAGCGGUGGAGCAUGUGGCUUAAUUCGAUGCAACGCGAGGAACCUUACCUGGGCUAAAUCUACAGUGUUACCUCCCGAAAAGGAGGGUCCCUUCGGGGCACUAUGGAAGGUGCUGCAUGGCUGUCGUCAGCUCGUGCCGUGAGGUGUUGGGUUAAAGUCCCGCAACGAGCGCAACCCCUGUGGUUAGUUACCAGCACCGUAAUGGUGGGGACUCUAGCCAGACUGCCUACGCAAGUAGUGAGGAAGGUGGGGACGACGUCAAGUCAUCAUGGCCCUUACGUUCCGGGCUGCACACGUGCUACAAUGGAUGGUAC
rnacentral:rRNA from 1 species